CACGUAGGGGGCAAGCGUUAUCCGGAUUCAUUGGGCGUAAAGCGCGCGCAGGCGGGUGUGCAAGCGCGACCUUUAAUCCUGGGGCUCAACCUCAGGUCGGGUCGCGAACUGUUCACCUCGGGUUCGGUAGGGGAGGUCGGAAUUCCCGGUGUAGCGGUGGAAUGCGCAGAUAUCGGGAAGAACACCGACGGCGAAGGCAGACCUCUGGGCCGCAACCGACGCUGAGGAGCGAAAGCUGGGGGAGCGAAUA
rnacentral:rRNA from 1 species